rnacentral:rRNA from 1 species
CUACGGGAGGCUGCAGUAGGGAAUAUUGGACAAUGGGGGAAACCCUGAUCCAGCAAUGCCGCGUGUGCGAUGAAGGCCUGCGGGUUGUAAAGCACUUUCGGUGGGGAAGAAACACUUAAGUAUAAUACACUUAAGAACUGACAUUACCCACAGAAGAAGCACCGGCAAACUCUGUGCCAGCAGCCGCGGUAAUACAGAGGGUGCAAGCGUUAAUCGGAUUUACUGGGCGUAAAGGGCGCGUAGGCGGGCACUUUAGUCGGUUGUGAAAUCCCCGGGCUUAACCUGGGAAUUGCAGUCGAUACUGGGUGUCUAGAGUAUGGUAGAGGGAAGUGGAAUUCUCGGUGUAGUGGUUAAAUACGUAGAUAUCGGGAGGAACAUCAGUGGCGAAGGCGGCUUUCUGGCCCAAUACUGACGCUGAGGCGCGAAAGCGUGGGGAGCAAACAGGAUUAGAUACCCGCGUAAUC